rnacentral:rRNA from 1 species
AGCGAACGCUGGCGGCAGGCCUAACACAUGCAAGUCGAACGAACUCUUCGGAGUUAGUGGCGGACGGGUGAGUAACACGUGGGAACGUGCCUUUUGGUUCGGAAUAACUCAGGGAAACUUGUGCUAAUACCGAAUGUGCCCUUCGGGGGAAAGAUUUAUCGCCAUUAGAGCGGCCCGCGUCUGAUUAGCUAGUUGGUGAGGUAACGGCUCACCAAGGCGACGAUCAGUAGCUGGUCUGAGAGGAUGACCAGCCACACUGGGACUGAGACACGGCCCAGACUCCUACGGGAGGCAGCAGUGGGGAAUCUUGCGCAAUGGGCGAAAGCCUGACGCAGCCAUGCCGCGUGAAUGAUGAAGGUCUUAGGAUUGUAAAAUUCUUUCACCGGGGACGAUAAUGACGGAACCCGGAGAAGAAGCCCCGGCUAACUUCGUG